CUAGAUUGCAGUUGCUGUGAGAUUGUGUUGGUAAUUCCAGUGGAUGGAGUUUACUCAAGUAAACAGUGUUUAAUAGAUGGCUGUGGACCUCAGAUGAGUCCAACAGCUGUUCGUCUCUUCCAGUUGUACAAACAGGACUGCGAGACCUUUGAAAUAGUGGUGAAGAUGCUUAUAUCCAAAGAUCCAACACUCGAACCAAUGCUUCUGGCAGUGCUGCAUAAGAACCUGGCUGAAACCGGGGAAGAAUACUUGGAAAACCUCGGCCAGUUGAUCUCUGAGGUGGAUGCAUUGGUCAAACCUAACCAUGAUCCAUAAACUGAUCAUGAAGCGCUUCAUCAUGCUUACUCAACUUAUAUAAACACACCAUCUAGAAGUAAUGUUUGUUCAGUUGUUGUUUGUCAUCUUAUUCAGCACAGCUGUCCUAAACACAUGUGUUAAACUUUUAAUUCAAGAACCACACUAACAGUUCACCGUUUACCUUAAAUUCUG
ensembl:lncRNA